rnacentral:rRNA from 1 species
CACGGGGGGAGCAAGCGUUGUUCGGAAUCACUGGGCGUAAAGGGCGUGUAGGCGGUUCGGUAAGUGGAAUGUGAAAUGCUCCGGCUCACCCGGAGUACUGCAUCCCAAACUGCCGGGCUUGAGUAUGGGAGAGGAUGAGGGAAUUCCUGGUGUAGCGGUGAAAUGCGUAGAUAUCGGGAGGAACACCCGUGGCGAAGGCGGCCGACUGGGCCGGACCUGACGCUGAGGCGCGAAGGCGUGGGGAGCGAACGGG